AUUGAACGCUGGCGGCAGGCCUAACACAUGCAAGUCGAGCGGAUGAAGGGAGCUUGCUCCUGGAUUCAGCGGCGGACGGGUGAGUAAUGCCUAGGAAUCUGCCUGGUAGUGGGGGAUAACGUCCGGAAACGGGCGCUAAUACCGCAUACGUCCUGAGGGAGAAAGUGGGGGAUCUUCGGACCUCACGCUAUCAGAUGAGCCUAGGUCGGAUUAGCUAGUUGGUGGGGUAAAGGCCUACCAAGGCGACGAUCCGUAACUGGUCUGAGAGGAUGAUCAGUCACACUGGAACUGAGACACGGUCCAGACUCCUACGGGAGGCAGCAGUGGGGAAUAUUGGACAAAGGGCGAAAGCCUGAUCCAGCCAUGCCGCGUGUGUGAAGAAGGUCUUCGGAUUGUAAAGCUCUUUAAGUUGGGAGGAAGGGCAGUAAGUUAAUACCUUGCUGUUUUGACGUUACCAACAGAAUAAGCACCGGCUAACUUCGUG
rnacentral:rRNA from 1 species